rnacentral:rRNA from 1 species
ACACCGGGGCAUGCCUUAGUACGGCGAGUGAGCGGCAAAAGCUCAAAUUUGAAAUCUGGUACCUUCGGUGCCCGAGUUGUAAUUUGGAGAGGGCAACUUUGGGGCCGUUCCUUGUCUAUGUUCCUUGGAACAGGACGUCAUAGAGGGUGAGAAUCCCGUGUGGCGAGGAGUGCGGUUCUUUGUAAAGUGCCUUCGAAGAGUCGAGUUGUUUGGGAAUGCAGCUCUAAGUGGGUGGUAAAUUCCAUCUAAAGCUAAAUAUUGGCGAGAGACCGAUAGCGAACAAGUACAGUGAUGGAAAGAUGAAAAGAACUUUGAAAAGAGAGUGAAAAAGUACGUGAAAUUGUUGAAAGGGAAGGGCAUUUGAUCAGACAUGGUGUUUUGUGCCCUCUGCUCCUUGUGGGUAGGGGAAUCUCGCAUUUCACUGGGCCAGCAUCAGUUUUGGUGGCAGGAUAAAUCCAUAGGAAUGUAGCUUGCCUCGGUAAGUAUUAUAGCCUGUGGGAAUACUGCCAGCUGGGACUGAGGACUGCGACGUAAGUCAAGGAUGCUGGCAUAAUGGUUAUAUGCCGCCCGUCUUGAACAACCGGACC